UACAGAGGUCUCAAGCGUUGUUCGGAUUCAUUGGGCGUAAAGGGUGUGUAGGUGGCGCAGUAAGUCGGGUGUGAAAUUUCGGAGCUUAACUCCGAAACUGCAUUCGAUACUGCGGUGCUUGAGGACUGGAGAGGAGACUGGAAUUCAUGGUGUAGCAGUGAAAUGCGUAGAUAUCCGGAGGAACACCGGUGGCGAAGGCGGCUUCCUGGACCGACACUGACGCUGAGGCGCGAAAGCUAGGGGAGCAAACGGG
rnacentral:rRNA from 1 species